ACAUGUAAGAUUCCCCAAAGGGGGAACCACCUAGGACAGGCAUGAUCACACGAAGGCUCCAGGGAAGGACUUGGGGGGCUAUGGAAAGAGGGGGUGAUCGACCCUCACCCCUUGGCUUUGACAAAGCCUGAGUCCUCAUUCUGCCUGAGAGAAGUCUCCAAUCUCUCGGCUGCCUUGUCUCCUCUGCCUGACUCAAGCCUGUAACAAUGA